CUUUGUUUCUCUGUGGAGCCGGAGUAACGCACGACUUUGGAUUGUUUGUAAUCAUCACUGAUCAUGGUAACCAGGAGGUCGUUACCCGCGGUACAGCAGACAGAGAGAGGUCUCCACCCCUGUAGUGUGAUCACGAAUGAGUUGAGUGGGAAAAUGAGCCUCCAGAUGUAUAUGUACAUGUGUAUAUUAUAAUUAAACUUCUGUUUGCACUCGCGCAUGCGAGGUUACUCUACA